rnacentral:rRNA from 1 species
UCAGCUGUUUUGCAAAAACAUGGCUCCUUGAAAUAUGUGUAUAAGGAGUCGGACCUGCCCAGUGAAAAAUUUUAACGGCCGCGGUACUCUGACCGUGCAAAGGUAGCAUAAUCACUUGCCUUAUAAUUGAAGGCUAGUAUGAAUGGUUUGACGAAAGCAUAGCUGUCUCUUUUCCACUUUAUAAAAAUUAACUUUCAGGUGAAGAGGCCUGUUUAAGAUUGAAGGACGAGAAGACCCUGUCGAGCUUUAAGAAAACAAGGAAAACCUUAUACUUGUAGAUAUAGAACCUUUUUUAUCUUUUGGUUGGGGCGACUAGGGAACAAAAAGAGCUUCCCCUAAUUAUUAAACUUCUUUGUCAGGAUCCAGUAUUUUCUGAUUAAAAGAAUUAGUUACCGCAGGGAUAACAGCAUAAUCCUUUUUGAGAGAUCUUAUCGAAAAAAGGGGUUGUGACCUCGAUGUUGGACUAGGGUAUCCUGAAGGUGCAGAAGCCUUUAACGGUUGGUCUGUUCGACCAUUAAAACCCUACAUGAUCUGAGUUCAGACCGGCA